AUUGAACGCUGGCGGCAGGCCUAACACAUGCAAGUCGAGCGGCAGCGACAGUACAAUCCUUCGGGUGCGUUACUGGGCGGCGAGCGGCGGACGGGUGAGUAAUGCCUGGGAAUAUGCCUUAGUGUGGGGGAUAACUAUUGGAAACGAUAGCUAAUACCGCAUAAUCUCCUUUCUUUUACGAGAAGGGAGCAAAGAGGGGGACCUUCGGGCCUCUCGCGCUAAGAUUAGCCCAGGUGGGAUUAGCUAGUUGGUGGGGUAACGGCUCACCAAGGCGACGAUCCCUAGCUGGUCUGAGAGGAUGAUCAGCCACGCUGGAACUGAGACACGGUCCAG
rnacentral:rRNA from 1 species